rnacentral:rRNA from 1 species
UACGGAGGGAGCUAGCGUUGUUCGGAAUUACUGGGCGUAAAGCGCACGUAGGCGGCUUUGUAAGUUAGAGGUGAAAGCCUGGAGCUCAACUCCAGAAUUGCCUUUAAGACUGCAUCGCUUGAAUCCAGGAGAGGUGAGUGGAAUUCCGAGUGUAGAGGUGAAAUUCGUAGAUAUUCGGAAGAACACCAGGGGCGAAGGCGGCUCACUGGACUGGUAUUGACGCUGAGGUGCGAAAGCGUGGGGAGCAAACAGG